CCCUACAUUCUCCACAAGGUCCUGCCCUGAAGUGCCACUUUGAGAGCAUGGCUUCAGAUUAAAAACGCAGGGGCCUCCUUUAGCAAUUUCCCACCCCCCAGCAAAGCAAAACAACUCUCUGAGCUGCUAGGACCAACUAGCGGGGCUUCCCAGCGCACCAGGGGCUGGCACCUUCGCCCUACCACCCUCCUCCAAACCAAAGGCUCAACUCACCAUAAAGAGAAGUAGGAGGCUGAAGGGGAUUGUGUCUCUGCCGCUCCGUCCAGCAGCGGCUCAGAAGCAAAGAGUUCGCACCCCCUGGGCACGGGCAGCGUAGAGAGAGCCCAGGGGCAGCUGGGACGCUUGCCGGCCCCCGGAGCCCCUUCCCCUCAGGAAGGACGCGGCGGCUCUCUCCCGCCUUCACCAGGGCAUCCUGAGUUCCCCUCUCCGAGCCCCGCUGCCUUCCUCCUCCUCCCUCACAAGUAUCACUUGGGCUGCAGCCAAACGCGAGCGGGCAAAGCGCCCGUCCAGGGUGCGAGCCUCACGCUGGCAGAGAAAUUCCUGACGAGGAGUCCCAAGCUCGCGAGGAGAGUCCGGGGCAGCUGGUGGUGAGGAGGAGCUUGCAAGGGCAGUCGAGAGAGCACCUUGUGCAGCGGUCCCCUAGCUGGGAGCUCGCAGGCGAAACCUGCAGCUGGCGGCGAGCUCCCCAGCGCGCGCCUCACGCUGGCCGAGCCAUCCCUGGAGAGGAGGCUGGCGCUCGCAACAGGAGCCUGGCGCAGCUCGCGGCGAGGUUCCCCGUUAGGACACCAGAGGAACUCAACAGAAAGAUCUUUAUAUAAGGACACCAUGGAACCUGGAUGAGCUUCAGGGAUUUACAAGGUUACAGUUGCCUUGACAGGUUCAAUACCACAGCAAUCCUAAAGGAAUAAAGAAGUGAAGAAAACACA
rnacentral:lncRNA from 1 species